rnacentral:snRNA from 1 species
GUACUCUGGUUAUACAGCUCUGGUUGUAUAACUCUUUUGCCUUUUACUAAAGAUUUCCAUGGAGAGAAGCAGCUGUGAGUCUUGUGCCAGUUUUUGAGGCCCUGCUGCAGUGGGGC